rnacentral:rRNA from 1 species
GGAAUUUUGGGCAAUGGGCGAAAGCCUGACCCAGCAACGCCGCGUGAAGGAUGAAGUAUUUCGGUAUGUAAACUUCGAAAGAAUGGGAAGAAUAAAUGACGGUACCAUUUAUAAGGUCCGGCUAACUACGUGCCAGCAGCCGCGGUAAUACGUAGGGACCAAGCGUUGUUCGGAUUUACUGGGCGUAAAGGGCGCGUAGGCGGCCCCACAAGUCACUUGUGAAAUCUCCGGGCUUAACUCGGAACGGCCAAGUGAAACUGUGGAGCUAGAGUGUGGAAGGGGCAAUCGGAAUUCUUGGUGUAGCGGUGAAAUGCGUAGAAAUCAAGAGGAACACCUGAGGUGAAGACGGGUUGCUGGGCCAACACUGACGCUGAGGCGCGAAAGCCAGGGGAGCAA